rnacentral:rRNA from 1 species
UACGGGGGGAGCAAGCGUUGUUCGGAUUUACUGGGCGUAAAGGGCGCGUAGGCGGCGUGACAAGUCACUUGUGAAAUCUCCGGGCUUAACUCGGAAAGGUCAACUGAUACUGUGCGACUAGAGUGCAGAAGGGGCAACUGGAAUUCUCGGUGUAGCGGUGAAAUGCGUAGAUAUCGAGAGGAACACCUGCGGCGAAGGCGGGUUGCUGGGCCGACACUGACGCUGAUGCGCGAAAGCCAGGGGAGCGAACGGG